AUUGAACGCUGGCGGCAGGCCUACCACUUGCAAGUCGAGCGAGCGGCGGACGGGUGAGUAAUGUAUGGGGACUGCCCGAUAGAGGGGGAUAACUACUGGAAACGGUGGCUAAUACCGCAUACUAUCGGAUAACCCAUAUGGGAUUAGCUAGUAGGUGGGGUAAAGGCUCACCUAGGCGACGAUCUCUAGCUGGUCUGAGAGGAUGAUCAGCCAAACUGGGACGGAGACACGGCCCAGACUCCAACGGAGGCAGCGGUGGGGAAUAUGGAACAAUGGGCGAAAGCCUGAUGCAGCCAUGCCGCGGUUAUGAAGAAGGCCUUGGGUUUGUAAGGUACUUUCAGCGAGGAGGCGUUACUCGCAGAAGAAGCACCGGCUAACUCCGUGCCAGCCGCCGCGGUAUAC
rnacentral:rRNA from 1 species